rnacentral:rRNA from 1 species
CUACACAUGCAGUCGAGCGGAUGAGAGGAGCUUGCUCCUGGAUUCAGCGGCGGACGGGUGAGUAAUGCCUAGGAAUCUGCCUGGUAGUGGGGGACAACGUUUCGAAAGGAACGCUAAUACCGCAUACGUCCUACGGGAGAAAGCAGGGGACCUUCGGGCCUUGCGCUAUCAGAUGAGCCUAGGUCGGAUUAGCUAGUUGGUGAGGUAAUGGCUCACCAAGGCGACGAUCCGUAACUGGUCUGAGAGGAUGAUCAGUCACACUGGAACUGAGACACGGUCCAGACUCCUACGGGAGGCAGCAGUGGGGAAUAUUGGACAAUGGGCGAAAGCCUGAUCCAGCCAUGCCGCGUGUGUGAAGAAGGUCUUCGGAUUGUAAAGCACUUUAAGUUGGGAGGAAGGGUUGUAGAUUAAUACUCUGCAAUUUUGACGUUACCGACAGAAUAAGCACCGGCUAACUCUGUGCCAGCAGCCGCGGUAAUACAGAGGGUGCAAGCGUUAAUCGGAAUUACUGGGCGUAAAGCGCGCGUAGGUGGUUUGUUAAGUUGGAUGUGAAAUCCCCGGGCUCAACCUGGGAACUGCAUCCAAAACUGGCAAGCUAGAG